AGAGAGAUAAGGGAAGGAAAAAUCUUGAAGCUUUGAUCUCCAUAUUCUUCAAGCUUAGGUCAAGUAAUUUUUGGAGUAUUCAAGGGUUUUGACAAGGAGUAUUUGGGUGAGCUAAAUAGCUAAGAUUUGGAUGUUUUAGGUGAACAUGACCUUUUGGACUUUAAUUGUAAGUGUGAUUUGUACUAAGGGGUUUUGCUAUAAGAGAGGAUCAAGUAAGUUAUUUGGCAAUUAUUAGUUUAUGAAGUCAGAUUUGUUUUGCCAAGUUAUGAGCUAUACGGAUUUCAUAUUACUU